AGUGAACGCUGGCGGUAGGCCUAACACAUGCAAGUCGAACGGCAGCACAGUAAGAGCUUGCUCUUACGGGUGGCGAGUGGCGGACGGGUGAGGAAUACAUCGGAAUCUACUUUUUCGUGGGGGAUAACGUAGGGAAACUUACGCUAAUACCGCAUACGACCUACGGGUGAAAGCAGGGGAUCUUCGGACCUUGCGCGAUUGAAUGAGCCGAUGUCGGAUUAGCUAGUUGGCGGGGUAAAGGCCCACCAAGGCGACGAUCCGUAGCUGGUCUGAGAGGAUGAUCCGCCACCCUGGAACUGAGACACGGUCCAGACUCCUACGGGAGGCAGCAGUGGGCAAUAUUGGACAAUGGGCGCAAGCCUGAUCCAGCCAUACCGCGUGGGUGAAGAAGGCCUUCGGGUUGUAAAGCCCUUUUGUUGGGAAAGAAAAGCAGCAGGUUAAUACCCCGCUGUUCUGACGGUACCCAAAGAAUAAGCACCGGCUAACUUCGUG
rnacentral:rRNA from 1 species